UUUUUUUUUUUGCUGCAGUUAAUUCCGCCUUUUCUUGCCCAUCUUCCCACAAAUCACGACUCCUACAAAACUGGCUUCGUGGAAUUGUGCGUUCAAUUCAAUUGCAGAAUGCUCUUAUAAAAUGCAAUUGUCGGCUUUAAAUCUAAAUCAACGCCACAUCGUCCUUUCUUCCCUACCAAAUCAACGCCAAUGACAAGCCUUCUCACAGCUUUUUGGGCGGUUUCAGUAAACCCUACCAACACCUACGCUCUCUUCAAAUCCAAAUGAAAUCAACAUUACUACUGACGUGAGGAGUAAUCUGAAGCCAAUUGUGAAGAAUAGCGAAGAUGGAAUCACCAUUGUCAGUGAUUAAGAGUUGUGGAUCAUGCACUGGAGAAGCUUACAGUUGGACCCCUAAUAAUCAUGAGUUUCAUUAAUUAGAAUUUUACACCUCUGAGAUGUUCAUAUACAUAAUUGAACACCGGAGUGAAUAGUAUAGGCCACCGGAAUGAACCGGUAGAACCACCGGGGGCACCAGAACAAUAAGCUGAAACUGCAGUGUCUCUGCGCUUGCGUGUCAUCGAAUAAUAAAAACGCCUAUCAGCCUUCUCCGAACACAAUUCCGACACCGAUUUCGAUCCGACAGUCAAAUCUUAAAAUUCAAGGACAGGGAACAGCAUAUCAGUCAAUGUUUUAAGGGAGAAUUGGAACUUGUGAAAGAUGCUAAUGUUUAGUGUUGAGAUAGUAGAUAUUCUCAUCAUGAUAUACAUAUUACCGUUGAUGGAGAUAUGGUGAUUACCAUUGAUGAUUGAUACACCCAAAAUCAUUCGGGUUUUUGCUGUUGAUCAGGGUGGUUCUUUGUGUAAAAGAAUGUGAAGUGUCAUCUCAAAUAUAUAAUAAGACGCAAUUUUGUAAGAAUCGUCCACGGUGUUAAUGUAUAAUCUUAGUUGAAAAGGAGAAGAACAGAAGCAAGAAGUUCUUAGCAUUUGCAGUUUUCAACAAGUCUUCUUUUUGGUUGAAAUAAAGAAUCUGAAUUCAUUUUCAGCAAUGAGUAGAGCUAUCGAUUUCGAGAUUGCGCGACAGGCGGAGCUCUAUAACCAAGGGAAAGACGAUGAAGUUGUGCAAGAAACACGUCUCUGGGAAGAAGGCUCUCAGAAAACAGUUACAAUGAGGAAAAAGGAAGGACUUGCAGAUUAUAGAUAUUUUCCUGAACCUGACCUUCCGGAAGUUAUACUUACAGAAGAGUAUGUGAAAGAUAUCCGUGAUUCUUUACCUGAACUUCCGGAAAUGAAGCGCCGAAGAUAAGAUAUGAGGAGAUGGAUCUGACCAUGCAGGAUGUUCUUUUUCUCGCAAAUGAUGUACAAGUGUUGGUGUUUACUGAAAUACCUGAGUGAGUGUUAAUCUCAUAAUGGUCUCCACAUUUUAAUAAAGACAAUGUCAUGUAGAUACUUUUUUGCCUAGAACAAUAAAGCUUGUACAAGUUGCAGCUAUUGCAGCUACUAGAGAUAGUGCUAGAUCUACUUUCUCUUGUGGAGCUUAAUGUAUGAUGGAAAUCACUUCUUGAUGUCGGUGGUAGGGUCGCCCGGGUCUUAACCCGCUUAUGACCCGGUAAUAAUAGGCAUGCAUUUGUAUGGUGAUGCUAUUACCACAUUAAAGUACCCAUCCACCAGAGGGUAAAAAGCUAGCGUCUAUUUUUCUUGGUGGCUUUAUAUUGAAAAUAUGGCUAUAUUUAUCUAUCUAAUGUAUGACUUGAAGAUUAGUUUUUAGUUAAUAAUAGAUGAUUUCUAAAAAGCAUUCAUUGGGUACACUGUCAUGGUACUUACAAAAGUUGCGCUAUCCUCUUCAUUCAGCCUCACGGUGGCAGUCCAUGGGCAUAACUUUAGGGGCAUAACUUUAGCCUGGGAGCAGACGGGGAUGGAAUUAGAGGGACCAAUGAGUUUUCGGUUAAAAGCAUUCGGGACAAAGCUUAGUGCCUCGCUUCUAUAGACUUUGCCUUCGAGUUAGAGUGCAAUAACUGGGCAUUAUGGUUGAUUUUCUGAUUUGGAGGAUCGUUCAAGACAAACUCCCAACAACUACGGCUCUAGCAAGGAGGAACAUCUUUGUGCUUAAUACUCGGUGCAAGAUGUGCGAAGAUGAGGACGAAUCGGCCUUGCAUCUGUUUGUUUCAUGUCGUAUAGCGGUACUGGUGUGGGAGGUUAUCUCACAAUGGUGCAAGUUAAGCCCAAUAUAUAUUUUGGAACUAAAGGAUUCGGCCAAUAUUAACAAGCGAAAUCGAGGAAGUGGAGGAAGUCACUAUCUAUGGUGACCCUGAAAGUGAUUUUGGUUAUAUGGAGGAGUCGCAACGAGUCGGUCUUCAAUGGCAAGCAAAUCAUUAUAACAAGGAUAAAGUAAGACAAUAAAGUGUUUGGAUAUAUGUGGUUGAAGAAUUGGGUGAAAGCUGGUAACCCAACUUGGGAGAAUUAGUGUACUUUAUUUUACCAUGUUUGGGGAUAUGAGACUAGGAGUAUAUGAAUCUUUGGUGUAUAGUUGGUGUAAUAUUAUGUUUAAUAGUUGGUUAACCAAAAUUAUAUGGAUAAAAUUUCGUUGGUCUUUCAAAAAAAAAUAUUACGUUAAGUAUCGGGUCAA